rnacentral:misc_RNA from 1 species
GGCUAUUUAGCUGCAAAUUAAAUAUCUUAAAAAGCAAUUGCUAUGACAUCAACAUUUAUGCAAGCGGAAAUGCUGCACUUGUUAUACUACAUGUCUGCAAGCUCGUGCCUAGUGGUACGCCAAGUCACUCUUCAAGUUACCCCGAAAAUACCUAUUCGUCUGGUUUUCCACCAUUCAUGGAAAAGUGAAUAACUGUAUAAAAAAAUAAUUAUUUGCAUGUGCAUUCCAAAUAAACUAGACUAGCCUGUGAAGAAAUUUGGCACAGCUCUAUUGCAUAAUGUGGAUGCUAAGUGCGGACACCCUAAACGUGUCCGAGGGCUGUUAGCAUCUGGCUGUGAUGUCCGACUCUGCUGAACCCGAGGAUGGUGGCGGUGGUGACCCUCCGGCCGCCGGACCCGAGGACGCCCCCGACCCAGCAGCGCCCGGGGCGGACACAGAGGCUGGGCCGGAUACCGAGAGCACUACCAGCCGGGCGGACACGGAGACGGGUACGGACACCGGGAGCACCGCUGCGCCGGCGGACACCGUGUCCGGAGCCGGAGCGGACACUGGAACCGGAACCGGAGCGGACACCGGAACCGGAGCAGAUACAGAGACGGACACGGAUACCAAGAGUGAUGCGCCGUCGGAAACGAAAGCUAAAGACAGAGUGAACCUGCUGCUGAAGGCGGCCGGGGACGCUCCGAUCAUGCGGCAGCGGCUGUGGAAGGUCGAUCCGGCACAGAAGGUCACCUGGGUCAUCCAGUUCAUCAAACGCUACAUCCGCAUGGAGCCCGAGGAGUCACUGUUUGUGUACGUCAGCCAGGCGUUCUCACCCGCGCCGGACCAGACCAUCGGUAACCUGCUCGAGUGUUUUGGAUCAGAGGGAAAACUGGUGAUGCACUACUGCAAGACACAGGCCUGGGGCUGAGGCGGCCCGGCCUGUGUCGUAAGACGCGGGCCUGGGGCUGUCGUAAGACGCGGGCCUGGGGCCGAUUCGGUUCGAACUGUGCCGUAAAUGCAGUUGUGGGACUGCGAGCUACUGCUGACCCAGCUGUGACGCGAAGUCACGCGGCAGAAUGGUGGGUGACACUCCCAAGUGAUGAUGGAGACAUCAGAAACUGUGAUCUGAGACAGGAGGCGGAUAGUGGAUUAUACGUCAGAGAGACGAGACAUGGAGCACGGGGUGUGCGUCUCCAGCCUUGUGCGCAAUGGACGCUGGGUCGCGGCAGUAGUCAGAUCCGAGUGUGGUCCGUUGGAUCGCAGCUGCCAACUAGACUGCCUCUGGGCAGUGUGCGCUGCUUCUAUGCGUCCCCUGUCGCACGGAGAAGCAUGAAAUGCAGACGGGAUGCAGUUACUGUCCAGUCUUGAUCUAAGACACUCCCACGAGUACACGGAGCGGGCCUGGGGCCGCUCCGUGUACUCGUAUCUACAGUUGGUGAGAUGGUAUUCCGGAUAGUGGGCGCUGAGAGAGGUGAGGGAGCUCAGCUCAGUGUGGUCCGUGAGUGGGUGAGAGUGACGGACACACGCUCACGAUGCCUUUUUUGUUAAUAGUGCGUUCAGUGUUUAUGUCGCCACGGGAUAAUCACUUGUACCAUGAAGGUGUGUUUAUUAGGAGAAAAUGUCGUGCAACUUUGAUCUUAUUCCGGCAGUGAUGUGCAUUUGUGCAUGUCAUGUCAAUCGUUGAUCAGCACGGUAAAUGCCUAAAAAAUGCCCAUUAGUUGAAUGCAAUGCGUGAUUGUCUCCUUCCCUUUCGGCAAUUUUCAAAAACAGUUAUAUUCAAGUCGAAUCCGCAUUGUUUCAUAUUGCAAUUUUAAGAAUAGUAAAUGUCUUUUCUUUAGUGAUUUAGUUUCAUGCCGGCGGGUUUACAGAUGGUUAGUCAUUUUGUGAUAUGGCCGGUGAUUAGUGAUUGCGUUCUUCACCGGCUGUCCGGGUCUGCCGAUUGUAGUUUUAUUUAUGCCGAUAUAUGUGCUGGUCAGCUCCUAUGGUGCGACUCGCAGUACGCCAUAUAGGUCAGUGUUUCCCAUAGCUAAUGGAUUAGCAGGGGAAUCAGAGUGCCCGUCAGUAUAUCAGUUUGUGUGGGUGAUUUUAGUGUAUUUUUGUCGUGCUUGGUGUUAUUUCUCAGUCAUUGCGCUGUAGGUACUUGCAUUAUAAAGCGUUGAUUCAGAUGUUUAAAUAAAUAUAGAAUCGUGCCUUUUCA